rfam:Chryseobacterium arachidis strain DSM 27619 genome assembly, contig: Ga0131169_102
UAAGCGGCAUCCGAAAAGCUUAAAGAGUAGGAA